GAUGAACGCUGGCGGCGUGCCUAAUACAUGCAAGUCGAGCGAAUGGAUUAAGAGCUUGCUCUUAUGAAGUUAGCGGCGGACGGGUGAGUAACACGUGGGUAACCUGCCCAUAAGACUGGGAUAACUCCGGGAAACCGGGGCUAAUACCGGAUACCAUUUUGAACCGCAUGGUUCGAAAUUGAAAGGCGGCUUCGGCUGUCACUUAUGGAUGGACCGGCGUCGCAUUAGCUAGUUGGUGGGGUAACGGCUCACCAAGGCAACGAUGCGUAGCCGACCUGAGAGGGUGAUCGGCCACACUGGGACUGAGACACGGGCCAGACUCCUACGGGAGGCAGCAGUAGGGAAUCUUCCGCAAUGGACGAAAGUCUGACGGAGCAACGCCGCGUGAGUGAUGAAGGCUUUCGGGUCGUAAAACUCUGUUGUUAGGGAAGAACAAGUGCUAGUUGAAUAAGCUGGCACCUUGACGGUACCUAACCAGAAAGCCACGGCUAACUACGUGCCAGCAGCCGCCGUAA
rnacentral:rRNA from 1 species